UUUGCACAAGAUUAUGCCCGGACAGCUUGGUUCCAUUCCAUUGUAGACUGUGCUACUAUGUUAAAUACUCCUCUGGGGAGUUUCAUCAGCAAUCAUGUCUCUAGUCAAGUGGGUAUCAUGCUCGGAGGACUCCUUGCAUCUGCUGGAUUUAUCCUGAGUUCCUUUGCCACAACUCUGGAGCAUCUUUACCUUUCCUUGGGCAUUCUUACAGGACUGGGGUCUGC